GUGGUUCCUCGUUUUUUCAUAAAAUCAAAAAUACAUUUUACGCGACUGACCAAUCAGAAAGCUCGUUUAAAGGCAAACAUUGGGUCUGUUCACAUUGCUUUCAACGCCCGGAUACAUAUUUAUCUCGUUGUACAUGGCAACCUAUGUAUAUUGCAAGCAAAGUAAAGUCCACAUGGGUUUGCGACUUUCCAUGCAAAAGAUUAACAAGAUCUUUAUACUUUCACGCAUUUUCGUAUGCAUUUGUAUCAUAAUAUAUUAUAUAGUUACUAGAAACCAUAUGUAAAAACUGCUUGAAUUUGAGCAUUUAAUAUACCAUUAAAAUACAAAGGAAUCAUUACAGAUACACAUACAUUUUAAAUUCGCGCCUUUAUUUCAUGCACACAUGACCACCGAGAAUGCGUAUAUGGCCGCAAAGCAUGUACGUAUAACCGUAGAGCAUGCGCACAUGGCCGCGGAGAGUGUUCGUGUCGCUACAUUUCGUCGAUGUGACAUGUUACAUGUACCAAACGAUCACCAAAAAUCGCCUUAUUACGAUGUGCAACUAAGGUGUAGUUACAUUGUAAGAAAAUAGACCAAUCCCAAUCAAGUAUUGUGUUGUCCGGAAUUUUAUGUGUAAUGGCCUUUAGGACAACGCGCUCGAAUCAGGUGUUGAUGUUAUUUAACGCAAUGUUGAGAUAGUAAUUAAUGUUAUAAUAGUAAUUAAUAGGUUUGUUCGCGUUGCUUGAAAUCCUCAAAAAUGUUUGUACACUUGAAACGAGAUAAAUAUAUAUCCGGGCGUUGGAAGCAAUGUGAACAGACCCAAUGUUUGCCUUUAAACGAGCUUCCUGAUUGGUCAGUCGCGUAAAAUGUAUUUUUGAUUUUCUGAAAAAACGAGGAACCACCAAACGUUUUGAAUACGGUACCAAACAUCACCAAGCGACGACCAAUCGAUUGAAAAAAAAAAGUAAGAAAAGUCAAAGUGGGGGGGCUAACAGAAGAAUUAAAAUUUGUUUUUGAUUUCCUGCAAAAACGAGGAACCACCAAACGUUUGGAAUACGGUACCAAACACUACCAAACGAUCACCAAACGAUUGGUAAAAAAAAAAA